rnacentral:rRNA from 1 species
GAUGAACGCUGGCGGCGUGCCUAAUACAUGCAAGUCGAGCGAACGGACGAGAAGCUUGCUUCUCUGAUGUUAGCGGCGGACGGGUGAGUAACACGUGGAUAACCUACCUAUAAGACUGGGAUAGCUUCGGGAAACCGGAGCUAAUACCGGAUGAUAUUUUGAACCGCAUGGUUCAAAAGUGAAAGACGGUCUUGCUGUCACUUAUAGAUGGAUCCGCGCUGCAUUAGCUAGUUGGUAAGGUAACGGCUUACCAAGGCAACGAUGCAUAGCCGACCUGAGAGGGUGAUCGGCCACACUGGAACUGAGACACGGUCCAGACUCCUACGGGAGGCAGCAGUAGGGAAUCUUCCGCAAUGGGCGAAAGCCUGACGGAGCAACGCCGCGUGAGUGAUGAAGGUCUUCGGAUCGUAAAACUCUGUUAUUAGGGAGGAACAUAUGUGUAAGUAACUGUGCACAUCUUGACGGUACCUAAUCAGAAAGCCACGGCUAACUACGUG